rnacentral:rRNA from 1 species
GAUGAACGCUGGCGGCGUGCCUAAUACAUGCAAGUCGAGCGAAUGGAUUAAGAGCUUGCUCUUAUGAAGUUAGCGGCGGACGGGUGAGUAACACGUGGGUAACCUGCCCAUAAGACUGGGAUAACUCCGGGAAACCGGGGCUAAUACCGGAUAAUAUUUUGAACUGCAUGGUUCAAAAUUGAAAGGCGGCUUCGGCUGUCACUUAUGGAUGGACCCGCGUCGCAUUAGCUAGUUGGUGAGGUAACGGCUCACCAAGGCAACGAUGCGUAGCCGACCUGAGAGGGUGAUCGGCCACACUGGGACUGGGACACGGCCCAGACUCCUACGGGAGGCAGCAGUAGGGAAUCUUCCGCAAUGGACGAAAGUCUGACGGAGCAACGCCGCGUGAGUGAUGAAGGCUUUCGGGUCGUAAGACUCUGUUGUUAGGGAAGAACAAGUGCUAGUUGAAUAAGCUGGCACCUUGACGGUACCUAACCAGAAAGCCACGGCUAACUACGUGCCAGCAGCCGCAGUAA